rnacentral:lncRNA from 1 species
CUCUGGGCGCCCAACGCGGGGCAGGGACGAGAAUUCCGGGAGGAAUUUUGGGAAUUUCGGGGAUCCAGGAGGAAUUUUGGGAAUCCCAGGCGGAAUUUUGGGAAUCUUAGGGGGAAUUUUGGGAAAAUUUUGGGAUCCUGGGAGGAAUUUUGGGGAUUCUGAGGGAGAUUUUGGGAAAAUUUUGGGAUCCUGGGAGGAAUUUUGGGAAUCNNNNNNNNNNNNNNNNNNNNNNNNNNNNNNNNNNNNNNNNNNNNNNNNNNGAAUUUUGGGAAUCUUGCGGGGAAUUUUGGGAGGAAUUUUGGGAUUCUGAGGGAGAUUUUGGGAAAAUUUUGGGAUCCUGGGAGGAAUUUUGGGAUCCUGGAGGAAUUUUGGGAAUCUUAGGGGGAAUUUUGGGAUUCUGAGGGGAAUUUUGGGAUCAUUUUGGGAUCCUGGAAGGAAUUUUGGGAAUCCUGAGUGGAAUUUUGGGAUCAUUUUGGGACCCUGGCAGAAUUUUGGGAUCCUGAUGAAAUUUUGGGAAUCCUGGGAGGAAUUUUGGGAUCAUUUUGGGAUCUUGGAGGGAAUUUUGGGAUACUGGGGAGAAAUUUUGGGAAUUUCGGGAAUCCCUGUGGGAAUUUUGGGAAUCCUGGAGGGAAUUUUGGGAUCAUUUUGGGAUCCUGGGAGGAAUUUUGGGAUCAUUUUGUGAUCUUGGAGAGAAUUUUGGGAAUCCUGGAGGGAAUUUUGGGCAUUUUGGGAAUCCUGGAGGGAAUUUUUGGGAUUGUUUUGGGAUCCUGGGAGGAAUUUUGGGAUCAUUUUGGGAUCUUGGAGAGAAUUUUGGGAAUCCUGAAGGGAAUUUUGGGAUCAUUUUGGGAUCCCGGGAGGAAUUUUGGGAAUCCUAGAGGGAAUUUGGGGUAUUUUGGGGAUCCUGGAGGGAAUUUCAGGUAUUUUGGGAAUCCUGGAGGGAAUUUUGAGAUCAUUUUGGGAUCCCGGGAGGAAUUUUGGGAUCCUUUUGGGAUCUUGGAGAGAAUUUUGGGAAUCCUGGAAGGAAUUUUGGGCAUUUUGGGAACCCUGGAGGGAAUUUUGGGAAUCCUGGAGGGAAUUUUGGGGAUCCUGGAAGGAAUUUUGGGAAUUUGGGAACCCUGGAGGGAAUUUUGAGAUCAUUUUGGGAUCCUGGGAGGAAUUUUGGGAUCAUUUUGGGAUCUUGGAGAGAAUUUUGGGAAUCCUGGAGGGAAUUUUGGGCAUUUUGGGAACCCUGGAGGGAAUUUUUGGGAUCGUUUUGGGAAUCCCGGAGGGAAUUUUGGGAAUCCCUGCGGGAAUUUUGGGGAUCCUGGAGGGAAUUUUGGGAAUUUCAGGAAUCUUGGAGGGAAUUUUGGGGAUCCUGG